ensembl:lncRNA
AUACAGUCUUGUAUUUGGGUAAUCUUCGGGAUAUAGGUGAAACUGAUGGCUGUGGAUAUAUGAAGGGUUUUCUCUCUGUGCUCUGGGUGGGAAACAUCUGAGAAGCAGGAGGGCCUGAGGACAAAUGGGCUGGCAGCCAUAAAGGUAAUAUAAAUCGUUGUUUUGUUCCCUCUGUGCUUUGCUUUGAUUUUCCCCUGUUUGAGCUAUUUUUAAGGCCCCCAAAAGAGAAGGAGGAUGACCUUAGACUGUUCCCUCAUUUUUUUGCUCAUUAUUUAGGUCUAGUUUCUGCCACAGCUGUUUUGGUCUUUUAUUUUCCAGUUUACUGUUCCUCUUGUUUACCAGUCAUGAUUUCAGCAUGUUUCCUUGUGUUGUGCUUGGUCCAAUUUGUCUUAAACCUGAGUUUCCCACAGAACAGCAGGAGUAGCUGCAGCAGAACUCAGCAGCAGCCAUCUGCUUGAAUAUUUACCCACCUUCCCAGCGAGAUUUUGAGUCUGUUUCUGAAUUCUCAGCUGCUACAGAGGUGUUGUUAUCAGUAUCCCACAUAACAAAAAGAAGGCCAGCUUGGUUGCAUCUGCAAGGUGGUGGUUGGAGAGUUGCUGCACGGAGACACACUUCAAAGGAAACCAUCAAUGUGAAGAUGUUAGAAAUAUACUGGACACUUCCUACCCUGUGUGCACCAUAUGAAUUUUCCAAAGUGAUUGUAAAUACCCUCCCCUCUGAACAUCGGUAUUUGAUGCCCAGGCUUUGGCACUCAGCAACAAAUAGAUCAGUGCAACAAAGAGGGAGAAAGAUCAGCCCCUUAGGGUGAGGCAAAUUCAUCUUUGGACUGUUUUUUACACGUCUUCGAGGCAAGUGUUGAACCGAUGUCUUGAGCCAUAUGGGGGCAGCACAGUCAUGAAACAGCUCGAGCUUCUCACCUACCGGAACAGCAAGCCAGCACUGUGGAGACAAAAGAAGGUGCCUUAUCGCUACGUGAUCCAUGGCAGAUGCAUUUCAGCCCAUGUGGAGACAAAAAUGUUGCUUGAGAAGAAAGCUACAUCUUUCAACACAGCAGGAGCUAAAAUAAGAUGUUAACAGGCUCCGUUCGUCAGCUACCCAGCAACUAUAAAGGAUUAGAUCUUUUCUGAAAAUCUUCCUGAUAACAGCACCUGCUGAGAUUUGGUAAUUCCUAGCUUUUAUUUCACUCUAAUGCAAACACAGCCUGUUUCUGCAUCCUGAUUUACAGUUGCAGUACAAAGGGGUCAGUCUCACAGCCUUUUAUCACACACAUAACACUUUUGCUGCAACUGAGUUUGAAUAACAACUUAUAACCAAUCCGCAGGGGCUAAAAUUUAGCCUGAAACAGGAUGGAGAGCCCUUGUUAGACAAAAGUGAAGGCAUCUCAAGUGAACAGAAUAUUGUGCAUGUGGAAUAUACUUGCAAGAGUUCAGCUAGAACUGUCCUUUCUGAUAGACGAUAUAAAGCUUGCUUCCGCAAGUGAUCUCAGAGUCCAACAGCCAUGAACUUUCAGAUACAUGCAUGUCUGAAGACAAAUUUCCAGCCUAUGUGGCUCCGGAGCUUGG